AUUCUCCUGCCUCAGACUCCGGAGUAGCUGGGACUACAGGCGCCCGCCACCAAGCCUGGCUAAUUUUUUGUAUUUUUAGUAGAGAUGGGGUUUCACCGUGUUAGCCAGGAUGGUCUAGAUCUCCUGACCUCUUGAUCCACCCGCCUUGGCCUCCCAAAGUGCUGGGAUUAAUGGUGUGAGCCACCUCGCCCAGCCUGGAGCCCUUUCUUUAAUAUAAACAUAAAUGUUAGUCAACUUGUUUAAAUAUAAACAUGUGAGCUGCUUGAGCACAGGGACUACAUCAUAAUGUUUUUUGCUCUCUUACAUGUCUCAUCAACGAAUGGAUUAGAUGCUGUUUUCCCCUUUGGUGAGCUGCUGGCCGAGUUACUUAAAAUACCCUUUGUCUACAGCCUCCGCUUCUCUCCUGGCUACGCAAUUGAAAAGCAUAGUGGAGGACUUCUGUUCCCUCCUUCCUAUGUGCCUGUUGUUAUGUCAGAACUAAGUGACCAAAUGACUUUCAUAGAGAGGGUAAAAAAUAUGAUCUAUGUGCUUUAUUUUGAAUUUUGGUUCCAAAUAUUUGACAUGAAGAAGUGGGAUCAGUUCUACAGUGAAGUUCUAGGAAGACCCACUACGUUAUCUGAGACAAUGGCAAAAGCUGACAUAUGGCUUAUUCGAAACUACUGGGAUUUUCAAUUUCCUCACCCACUCUUACCAAAUGUUGAGUUCGUUGGAGGACUCCACUGCAAACCUGCCAAACCCCUACCGAAGGAAAUGGAAGAGUUUGUCCAGAGCUCUGGAGAAAAUGGUGUUGUGGUGUUUUCUCUGGGGUCGAUGGUCAGUAACACGUCAGAAGAAAGGGCCAAUGUAAUUGCAUCAGCCCUUGCCAAGAUCCCACAAAAGGUUCUGUGGAGAUUUGAUGGGAAUAAACCAGAUACUUUAGGACUCAAUACUCGGCUGUACAAGUGGAUACCCCAGAAUGAUCUUCUUGGUCACCCAAAAACCAGAGCUUUUAUAACUCAUGGUGGAGCCAAUGGCAUCUAUGAGGCGAUCUACCAUGGAAUCCCUAUGGUGGGCGUUCCAUUGUUUGCAGAUCAACCUGAUAACAUUGCACACAUGAAGGCCAAGGGAGCAGCUGUUAGUUUGGACUUACACACAAUGUCGAGUACAGACUUACUCAAUGCACUGAAGACAGUAAUUAAUGAUCCUUU
rnacentral:sRNA from 1 species